UUGUAUCACUUAAUUAUUUUGUUUUUCUUUAAUUAAUGCUAUUUUGGCAAAAACAAGAUUAACGUGCAUCUAAAAUAAUAACAUGAUGGGAAAAUUAUGAUAUUACAAAGUUCUAUAAAUAAAAAAUGUGCGGUGGCGCUAAUUAGCACGUGAUGCAAACAAACCGUUCAACAACAACAACACGAGGAAACAUGCGUGAAAAGGCAAACAAACAAUAUUUGUAAACACGAGAACAACUGCUGGCGGCACACAUUAUAAGAAGAUCACUUUAUUGGACGAGAAGUUGUUACGCCUACAAAUUUCAGACGUUGCAUCUUGAAGACAGCGAUCACUUCAUGAUCAUUCUCGCAGGAAAGUGAAGAGAAAAUGGCCAACAGGGAGUGUAUAUUGGGAAAAUUGAAACCUUUCAAAGCAACUGAUGAGUACUACAAUCUUCUGCCAGAGGACGAAGCAGCAACCCCAAAGUCAUUCACAAGAUUACAAAAGGGCUAUGAAUUGUUUUUUUUUCUUUUUUUGGCAAGCACAAUUCUGCUGCCAAAACCAAGAAUGCCUUCACAAUUAGCUUCGAAUAUGAUAAUGGAGAACAGUGAAAGUUUUUGUUAGUAAGAAAAUCAGUCUUGGAGAGGAAGGAAAGAGAUCCGUGAUAACAGAUGAUACCUUAAAGCACUAUCUAGAUAAACAUAUGUGCAAGUAAUCUCGCAUCAACAAAUAUGGGUCGUGGCAGUGAGAAAGCUCAUUUUCAAAAGUGUGUUUUUGGAUAUCAGACCAACCAUGACAUUUAUAAACAGUCCUCCAGAGUUGGUUGAACACAGUACAUGUACAUUAGUCCAGAGGAUUUAAUCAUAACUGCCACCAACAAUGUUGAAGUGGUUUUUACUGGUUUGAAAUGUGAGGUGUAAUCAUACAGUAAACAGAUAAUAUAGUAUUAACAUUGUUAUAGCAUUCAAGGUUUUUAUUUAUUUGUUUAGCUUAUCUGAGCCAAAGGCUCGGGAUGAGCUGUUAGUAUGGAUUGGUUGUCCAGCAUUAAACAUCCUGUGUCCAUCCUCAAGAUUGCAUAUAAAUUGCUUCUCUAAAACUACAUAUCAGAUGUUUACCAAAUUUGGUCUGUAACACCCCUCCUUUGACCACCAUUCAAAUUACAGGAAAUGGUUACUUUGUGACCUUGACCAUUGAUCUUAAGAUAUAAAUUAUAUUCAUACUGAAUGUUUUAGUACAGUGUAAAAUGAGUAUUGAUUUAAUUGAUACAAGAAUUGUAUGAAUCUAGUUAAAACAUCAAAUUUUGAUAUCCAUUAUUUAAUAGAAGUGUAAAUGGAAUUAUGAGUGGCACUUAUGUCUCUGUGACAAAUCCUCAAAAAAUUCACACACAUUUUCUGUGUCAAACAGACAUGUAUUAUAUAAAAAAUACAGUCAAGCAAAUUGUUUAACUUUAUUCGCUAUAUAAUAAUCUGUGCCAAUUUACUUGUGAUUUACUAUUUCCAUGCCAAUAAAUUAUGCACUAUAUACACAGUUAUUAAAAUUGAAGUUUUAUGAGGAAA